CUUGUACACACCGCCCGUCACACCAUGGGAGUUGGCUUUACCUGAAGACGGUGCGCUAACCCGCAAGGGAGGCAGCCGGCCACGGUAGGGUCACCGACUGGGGUGAAGUCGUAACAAGGUAGCCGUAGGGGAACCUGCGGCUGGAUCACCUCCUUU
rnacentral:rRNA from 1 species